GAUUUUAUAAUUUAAAUUUUAAAAUAUUGACCUUGUAAGCCAACUAUUGGGGACCCCCUCAUAAAAUCA
rnacentral:tRNA from 1 species